GGCAGGUCUGCAGACUCAGCCAUGGGACAUUGAGGGCUGACAGAGGAGCAUCAGGAGCCUGUGGGCUGGUGACUGUUCUGGGAGAAGCAGGUGCCAGUCUGCUGGGUGAGGAUAAAGAUGUGUAUGGAAAAUUCUCAUCUGGAAUGGAAGCUGGGCAGAGGUCAACAUGUGUCCCUGUUUGAAGGCCCCAUGAGAUGUGUGCCCAACCCCACAGAGGAGACCCUUAGAGUGUGGGUGUGGGGAGCUGACUAAGACGCUGCUCUGUGUUCAUAGGCUAUGGAUGCCCUGUGGACAGGAGGGGUCACUGCUCUCACAACACAGACAACAUCAAGAAACCCCCAAGUUCAUGAUGGCAUUUCAUCUACCAGCCUGAAGUGAUCAUCUUGCUGAUAACAAUGUACAGCUCAAUUAAGAAAUGAAACAUUACUCAAGCCCCUUCCAUAACUACCCACACUAUAAUCACAUUAUAUUUCACCAGACUUGAACAAGCAGUUAAAAAAUCCCAAAAUGUGGAAGAGAAAUCAUUGACAAUGCUCACUUUGCAGUUCCAAAUGGGAAACAGGAAUUUAAAAAAAAAAAAUUCAUUCAGGAUACCAGCAAAUUGCACUGACACACAUACGAGAAUUCCAAAAGAGAAGAAUGAAAAUAGAAGGGGCAAAACCUUAUUUUGAAGUGAAAUGCACUUCACUUUCUUAAAUGUCAUCUAAUAUAUGAAAGUACUAAUCCAAGAGGUUGAACAACCUCCACGUUCCAUCGACUUGAGCAGAUCCACGCUGAGGCACAUUGUAAACCAAUCUGCCAAAGCUAAAGUAAAAGAGACAACACUAAAGCAGAAAGAGAGGCCUGUUCACCACAUACAGGGUUCCUCCGAAGGUGUUUAUCAAGUUCUUAAUGAUGGGAACCAGAGGUAGUAAGAUGAUGCAUCUACAGUGUUGAAAAAAAAUGGUACCAAGAAUUCUCUACCUAAGAGAAAAAACAUUCCUUCCAACAUGAAUGAGAAAUGAAGAUAUUUCCAGAAAAAAAAACUGAGCAAUUCACUCCCUGUAGAAAUGUCAUGCAAGAAAUGCUAAAGGGAAACCAUUAGGUUGAAGUGAAAGGAUGUUAG